GGGGCUGUGUGGUAAAAGCACCUGCCUGUCAUGCAGAAGGUCCCAGGUUCCACCCCCGCCAUCUCCA
rnacentral:tRNA from 1 species